UACGUAGGGCGCAAGCGUUAUCCGGAAUUAUUGGGCGUAAAGAGCUCGUAGGCGGUUUGUCGCGUCUGCCGUGAAAGUCCGGGGCUCAACUCCGGAUCUGCGGUGGGUACGGGCAGACUAGAGUGAUGUAGGGGAGACUGGAAUUCCUGGUGCAGCGGUGAAAUGCGCAGAUAUCAGGAGGAACACCGAGUGGCGAAGGCAGGUCUCUGGGCAUUAACUGACGCUGAGGAGCGAAAGCAUGGGGAGCAACAGG
rnacentral:rRNA from 1 species